rnacentral:rRNA from 1 species
GUGGGGAAUUUUGGACAAUGGGCGCAAGCCUGAUCCAGCCAUUCCGCGUGCAGGAUGAAGGCCUUCGGGUUGUAAACUGCUUUUGUACGGAACGAAAAGCCUCUGGUUAAUACCCGGGGGUCAUGACGGUACCGUAAGAAUAAGCACCGGCUAACUACGUGCCAGCAGCCGCGGUAAUACGUAGGGUGCGAGCGUUAAUCGGAAUUACUGGGCGUAAAGCGUGCGCAGGCGGUGGUGUAAGACAGUUGUGAAAUCCCCGGGCUCAACCUGGGAACUGCAUCUGUGACUGCAUUGCUGGAGUGCGGCAGAGGGGGAUGGAAUUCCGCGUGUAGCAGUGAAAUGCGUAGAUAUGCGGAGGAACACCGAUGGCGAAGGCAAUCCCCUGGGCCUGCACUGACGCUCAUGCACGAAAGCGUGGGGAGCAAACAGGAUUAGAUACCCUGGUAGUCC